CACGUAGGGGGCAAGCGUUGUCCGGAUUUAUUGGGCGUAAAGAGCUCGUAGGUGGUUCGGUAAGUCGGGUGUGAAACCUCCAGGCUCAACCUGGAGACGCCACCCGAUACUGCUGUGACUGGAGUCCGGUAGGGGAGCGUGGGAAUUCCUGGUGUAGCGGUGAAAUGCGCAGAUAUCAGGAGGAACACCAGCGGCGAAGGCGGCGCUCUGGGCCGGUACUGACACUGAGGAGCGAAAGCGUGGGUAGCAAACAGG
rnacentral:rRNA from 1 species